GCGGAAGGAUCAUUAUGCAGUUUUGACUGGGUUGUAGCUGGCCUUACGAGGCAUGUGCACGCCCUGCUCAUCCAGCUCUACACCUGUGCACUUACUGUGGGUUACAGAGCGUGAAGCGGGCUCCUUACAAGGAGCUUGUGAAGCGUGUCUGUGCCUGCGUUUACCACAAACUCUUUAAAGUAUUAGAAUGUGUAUUGCGAUGUAACGCAUCUAUAUACAACUUUCAGCAACGGAUCUCUUGGCUCUCGCAUCGAUGAAGAACGCAGCGAAAUGCGAUAAGUAAUGUGAAUUGCAGAAUUCAGUGAAUCAUCGAAUCUUUGAACGCACCUUGCGCUCCUUGGUAUUCCGAGGAGCAUGCCUGUUUGAGUGUCAUGAAAUCUUCAACCUGCAAGCUUUUAAUCGGUUUGUAGGCUUGGAUUUGGAGGCUAUUGUCGGCCUUUAUCGGUCGGCUCCUCUUAAAUGUAUUAGCUUGGUUCCUUGCGGAUCGGCUUGUCGGUGUGAUAAUGUCUACGCCGCGACCGUGAAGCGUUUGGGCAAGCUUCUAACCGUCUCACUUUAGAGACAUCCUUAUGACCUCUGACCUCAAAUCAGGUAGGACUACCCGCUGAACUUAAGCAUACAUUAAG
rnacentral:rRNA from 1 species